ensembl:lncRNA
GGCGGCGCGGCGGAGCUGAGGAUGAUCUCGCGAUACGCGCGGAAACCGGUGCCCCUCGGCGCUCUGGAGAUGUGAGUCGCCGCCGCCUCCUCCCGUCCCGGUCCCGCCCGCUGUCCCGGUCCCCGCCGCCCCUGCCCCCGCCGCCCCAGCCAGGCCCAGCUCCCGCCUGGUGCCGCGCUCGGGCCUGCCCGCCUUGCACUGCCCCUGAGCCCGAGAGCCGGGCCCCGUGCCAUGACAAGGCCCCAGUUACCGCGCGUCGCUGCGGGCGCAGCUUGUCGGUAGCGCCGGGGUGGGCCGAGUUUAACACGGAGUUGCAGGGACUCGGUGCCGUUAUCGCGGUGCGGCGGCCUGUGCCAAGGCUGAAGCCAGCGGUGCUGCCUCUGGAGGUGCCGGGCGUGAGGGCAGCCGCGGUAACGCGCGCACACCGAUCCUGGCCAGCGAGCGUGCUCGUCGCUUGGAAAACAUAAGUGUGAGAGAACGCGAUUAAAUCCCUGGUCUUGUCCUCUUGUUUUUUGACCCAAGAGGUAACUGGAGUGUAGGCGCUUUGGGGUUUGGGUUUGGUUUUUUUGAGGGGUGGAUGAGCGAGAAGUUUAAACAAAUAGAACAGUUUCAGUAAAUCGCUGUUUUGAUGCUGCCUUGUUUAUGUUUAAUUCUGUCGUCUUUUCUAAACAGCAGAGAAAUGACAGGACAGCUUCUUUACCUAAGGCUUUUUCAGCUGAUACUUGGGACUUUUGCUCCUGCAUUAAUAAUUCUCUGUCUCCAACUACUGUGACUUUUCUUGUGCUUCUUUCCUAAACAUCUGAACUUCAAACCAAAAAGCUUACAAAUACUAUUUCUUCUAGCUUGCCUGUGCACAGUUUGGUGGCUCCUUUUGGUCUGCUUGAUUCUAAGUCUCCUACAGAGAUAAUGACAUUGUAUCUGCUUUUAGAGAACUGUAGGCCAAUUUACAAUAUUUUAAGGGUAAAGGAAGACACUGAUUUUUAAGCAAAAACCUUUAACUCCAUGUUUAGCCUAGAGUUAGUUUUGAUACCUUAAUUCUAAAGCUUUGGUAACAAAGAUUAGCCUUCUAAUAUUAAUAAAUGACCUCUGGUAUGCAAAUUAGUGCAUUCCUUGAAAGGCAGGGAAAAACCCAACAAAAAACACUGUAAAACUUGGGAACGCUGUAGAUGUUUAUUCCUGUAAGUAAUGUCAAGUUCCACUUGUUUUGUUUAGACAAGGACUUCCAAAACAUGCCUUGCGGCAUCACCCACUGCCAGAACCAGGAGCUGAGGUGUGCCCAGCCACACCCACGGCUGAAAACCCUGGCAAGACCUCAAGGGAGUCUGAAAUCCGGAAGGAAUCGGAUUACCCUUCUGUUACUCCAGCUGAUCAUGGGAAUUCAUGGUCUGCUAGUCAGGGUUGUGCUGACGCCUCCACUGAAGAGAGCUCAGCCUUCUCUUGGGGCUACGAUGUGAGUAGAACAUGAUCAUUCAAGCCAAAUCUAGCACAGUGAGUAGAAAGACAUUUGAAAUACCAUACUUGCAAAUACAUUGCAGGAUAACAAUGAGGAUUGGAUCUCUCCCUAAAUCAUAAAAGAACAUCUUCUUUACCUCUUCCCCAUCAUUCCUUUCUCUCAGAUCAAAUCAUAUUAGGCUCAUGUUACUCAAUUAAUAUUCUGCAUUAAUAUUCCAUCUAGUAUUUUGAAAAUGCAAAUCAUGUAACGCAUAAGUGUAUCUGUACAACAUAAUAAAUGCUACUGUU